rnacentral:lncRNA from 10 species
CAUUAAGUGACAAAUCAGGAAAUUAAAAAUGGCACACACAAAAAGCAAUGAAACCUAGAAGCCCAGGUGAAUCUUAUGUCUCUUCCAUCUUCUUGUUUUUAAGGGACAGGGAUCUUACUGUGUUGCCCAGGUCUUUACAAUGACACCAUUUGACCUUUCUCUUCUAUUCCUCAAACACACCAAGACUGUUCUUGCCUGAGGACAUCCGCACAAGCGGUUCCUUCUGCCUGACUCUUCUCCCUGGCUCAUGUCUUCAAAUCUCUGCUCAAACGUUUCCUCACCACAGGCCUUCAUUGACCACCCUAGACUCUAUCCUCCUUACCUG